rnacentral:lncRNA from 1 species
UUCCAAAAAUAGAUAAUGAUAGUGGUGUGGGCACGGUAUGCAAAAUGAUGACUACUAUUUACCUACAAAAAAAACCAAUAUCCCUAAACUUGAUAAAAAACCCCAAAACCCAAAUUAAAUACCCAUACACCAACCCAUUUAACCCAACUACCCCAUACCCAAAUACCAACCUAACCACACAAUAAACCCAAAAUAAGCCCAAUACCCAAAGAAGCCUAAGAGGAGAAAAAAGAAAAAAAUGAUGAAAAGAAAAUUGGGCCGAAUGGCCUAGCUGGCCUAAAAGAAAAAAAUAGAAUUGGACAAGAAGACCCAACUGGCCACAAGGGAAAAAUAGAGAAAAAAGAAAAAAAAGAAAAAAAUAAAACACCCAAAUCCCUAAAUCCUGAAACCCUUUUUCUCUUCAUCUUCUCCAUGUUCUUCAAAAUAAAAAAACCCUAACCCCACACUAAACCCACGCAGCCAUCAUUUCCCUUAUCACCGACUCGUCAUCGAUACGUUGCCGCACCCAUCGUCGCCCCGACCAAUCACCGUGACCCCUUCCUUCAGCACCGUCGACAAGUCAAAAGCAUCACCAACCCUCCGUUUUCUUUUCCUUUUCCCCCUCCACUCGAAAACACCGUUUGGUGGCCUUCUUCACCAUAUCAACACCGUGCCAUUGUCGAUCGAAACCCUUAGCCCACGCGUCGGUGCUCCGUCCUCCCUGAAACAUCUCAC